UCGGGAAUUUUGGGCAAUGGGGGAAACCCUGACCCAGCAACGCCGCGUGAAGGAUGAAGUAUUUCGGUAUGUAAACUUCGAAAGAAUAGGAAGAAUAAAUGACGGUACUAUUUAUAAGGUCCGGCUAACUACGUGCCAGCAGCCGCGGUAAUACGUAGGGACCAAGCGUUGUUCGGAUUUACUGGGCGUAAAGGGCGCGUAGGCGGCAUGACAAGUCACUUGUGAAAUCUCUGGGCUUAACCCAGAACGGCCAAGUGAUACUGUCGCGCUAGAGUGCAGAAAGGGCAACUGGAAUUCUUGGUGUAGCGGUGAAAUGCGUAGAUAUCAAGAGGAACACCUGAGGCGAAGGCGAGUUGCUAGGCUGACACUGACGCUGAGGUACGAAAGCUAGGGGAGCGAACGGGAUUAGAUACCCAAGUAGUCCCUGAGCGGGCUGGCAAGGCGCAU
rnacentral:rRNA from 1 species